CCUACGGGAGGCAGCAGUGGGGGAUAUUGCACAAUGGGGGAAACCCUGAUGCAGCGAUGCCGCGUGAAUGAAGACGGCCUUCGGGUUGUAAAGUUCUGUCGCAGGGCACGAAAAUGACGGUACCCUGCAAGAAAGCUCCGGCUAACUACGUGCCAGCAGCCGCGGUAAUACGUAGGUGGCAAGCGUUAUCCGGAUUUAUUGGGCGUAAAGGGAACGCAGGCGGUCUUUUAAGUCUGAUGUGAAAGCCUUCGGCUUAACCGGAGUAGUGCAUUGGAAACUGGGAGACUUGAGUGCAGAAGAGGAGAGUGGAACUCCAUGUGUAGCGGUGAAAUGCGUAGAUAUAUGGAAGAACACCAGGGGCGAAAGCGGCUCUCUGGUCUGUAACUGACGCUGAGGUUCGAAAGCGUGGGUAGCAAACAGGAUUAGAUACCCGAGUAGUC
rnacentral:rRNA from 1 species